rnacentral:rRNA from 3 species
GUGGGUAGUUUGACUGGGGCGGUCUCCUCCUAAAGAGUAACGGAGGAGCACGAAGGUUGGCUAAUCCUGGUCGGACAUCAGGAGGUUAGUGCAAUGGCAUAAGCCAGCUUGACUGCGAGCGUGACGGCGCGAGCAGGUGCGAAAGCAGGUCAUAGUGAUCCGGUGGUUCUGAAUGGAAGGGCCAUCGCUCAACGGAUAAAAGGUACUCCGGGGAUAACAGGCUGAUACCGCCCAAGAGUUCAUAUCGACGGCGGUGUUUGGCACCUCGAUGUCGGCUCAUCACAUCCUGGGGCUGAAGUAGGUCCCAAGGGUAUGGCUGUUCGCCAUUUAAAGUGGUACGCGAGCUGGGUUUAGAACGUCGUGAGACAGUUCGGUCCCUAUCUGCCGUGGGCGCUGGAGAACUGAGGGGGGCUGCUCCUAGUACGAGAGGACCGGAGUGGACGCAUCACUGGUGUUCGGGUUGUCAUGCCAAUGGCACUGCCCGGUAGCUAAAUGCGGAAGAGAUAAGUGCUGAA